rnacentral:tRNA from 1 species
ACUGGGUUGGCCGAGUGGUUAAGGCGUUGGACUUAAGUUCCAAUGGACAAGUGUACGCUUGGUAUCGAACCCCACACCCAGUA